GCCAGUAUGGUGUAGUGGUUUGACUGUUGCACUGUGACUCCAGAGGCCAGGGUUCAAAUCCCCGCUUGGUCA